GUUAGGGUUUCUUUACUGUGUCAGAGGGACAGGGUGUAAAGCAGAGUUGAACAGAACAGAGACCAGAGGAGCAGAGCAAGAAGAUGCAGAGCCCUGGGCCCAGGAGGCUCUAGGCACCGGAGGGGAGGUGAUCCAGGGGUUCUGCCACCUUCUAACAGACAGUCCGAGGCUUCAGGGCCCCUGCGGGUAAGAGGUGACUGUGGAGGAGAGGUAGGUAGGAG